AAAGUCUGGUAGCUCGGGUUGUGAGGUUGUCGUACAUACAAUGCAGAACUGGUAGUUAGGUUGGGAGUUGCUGUAUCUGGUGUGAAGCUGGUAGUUGGGUUGGGAGUUGUCGUAUCUGGUGAUAAACUGGUAGUUGGGUUGGGA
rnacentral:lncRNA from 1 species